rnacentral:rRNA from 1 species
GGACUACCCGCUGAACUUAAGCAUAUCACUAAGCGGAGGAAAAGAAACUAACUAGGAUUCCCCCAGUAACUGCGAGUGAAGAGGGAAGAGCUCAUCAUUGGAAUCUGGCAGUGUUUCACUGUCCGAGUUGUAGAUGAGGAGUAGUCCGUCUGGACUGCAUGGCGUCCAAGUACAAUAGGCCGUCAGUGGGACAUCAUAGAGGGUGACAAUCCCGUCCUUGACGCCAAUGUGCAAGUCUAUUACGAUGGCUAUCUCAGAGAGUCGAGCAGUUUGGGAUUUGCUGCUUAAACAUGGGAGGUAGAUUCCUUCUAAAGCUAAAUACAGGCGAGAGACCGAUAGAGAACAAGUACCGCAAGGGAAAGAUGAAAUAGCACUCUGUGAAGGGAGUCAAAAGGCGUGAAAUUGUUGCGAGAGAAGCGAUUCAAGUCAGCGUAGCUAGGCCCAUCAAGCGUCUUCGCUUUGGACUAGCUUUGCCAGCGGUCUUGUCCCUUAAAGAGACUUGACUUGUAAUAUGUCCAGCCUGGCGUGCACAGGCAGCCCCUUCUGGGGGGCCAGUGACAUGGCUGGUGGAAUGGCUUGCAAUCGACCCGUCUUGAAACACGGACCAAGGAGUCUAACAUGUAUGCGAGUAUAAGGGUGGCAAACCCGUAUGCGCAAUGAAAGUGAUUUUCGGUGAUUGAGAAUGGCCUGAUGACCAGACAAGCAAUAUAUGUCCCUCGUACGGCCAUUGCCCAAGUUCCGUGGUAGAUCCCACGAACAUGGAGUUGGAGCAUACAUGCUAGGACCCGAAAGAUGGUGAACUAUGCCUGGACAAAGCGAAGCCAAAGGAAACUCUGGUGGAGGCUUGUAGCGAUUCUGACGUGCAAAUCGAUCGUCUGAUCUGGGUAUAGGGGCGAAAGACUAAUCGAACCAUCUCAUAGCUGGUUCCUGCCGAAGUUUCCCUCAGGA